AGGAUAAACGCUGGCGGCGUGCAUGAGACAUGCAAGUCGAACGGGUUCUCGGGCUUGCUCGAGAGCUAGUGGCGGACGGCUGAGUAACGCGUAGGUGACCUGCCCCGAAGUGGGGAAUAACUGCCCGAAAGGGUGGCUAAUACCGCAUGUGAUCGCUCAUUCAUUUGUUCGAUCAAAGCAGUAAUGCGCUUCGGGAGGGCCUGCGUCCGAUUAGCUCGUUGGUGGGGUAAUGGCUCACCAAGGCGACGAUCGGUA
rnacentral:rRNA from 1 species